AGAAAGGUAUGUCUUUAUGUUUUGUCUUUAUGUAUCUGUCAUGUAGGCUUUCGCAGCAAGUAACUAUUUUACUAAUGAAGAAACCAAAAAUUCGACUGUUUUUGCUUUCAACUAGCAUCCUUAAACUUACAUUUUUUUUCUUCAAAGGCAGCUGUAUAACAUGGGAAGACAAGAAGAUCCUUUUGACAUUUUGUGAAUGUUACAAGAGUGUAGCAGCAAGGACUAAAUCAUGAUUGUGCCCAAGGGAAAUUGAAGUAUAUAAAUUGCAUAACCUGUGAGUAUGAUUGGGGGAACAUUUUAUUUCAGAAAAGGAAUUUCUUUCUUUCUUUUCCACUUUUUUUAUAAUUGUUAUACAUAAAAUAUAAUUUUAUCUAUAUCUUUAAAAUAUAUAUUAUUUACUUAAAAUUGCCCCUUAUUAUCUUUCCUGUUGUGUGAUGGUCCUAUUCCCUCCAGGCUCCUGUAGGCACUAU
rnacentral:lncRNA from 1 species